rnacentral:misc_RNA from 1 species
UACGGAGGGUGCAAGCGUUAUCCGGAUUCACUGGGUUUAAAGGGUGCGCAGGUGGGUCUUCAAGUCAGGGGUGAAAGCCCAGAGCUCAACUCUGGAAUUGCCCUUGAUACUGUUGACCUUGAGUUCGGUUGAGGUAGGCGGAAUACAGCAUGUAGCGGUGAAAUGCAUAGAUAUGCUGUAGAACACCAAUUGCGAAGGCAGCUUACUAAACCGACACUGACACUGAGGCACGAAAGCGUGGGGAGCGAACAGG